UUUACGGAGAGUUUGAUCCUGGCUCAGGACGAACGCUGGCGGCGUGCUUAACACAUGCAAGUCGAACGAUGAAGCCCAGCUUGCUGGGUGGAUUAGUGGCGAACGGGUGAGUAACACGUGAGUAACCUGCCCUUGACUCUGGGAUAAGCGCUGGAAACGGCGUCUAAUACCGGAUACGACCUGCCCCGGCAUCGGGUGCGGGUGGAAAGUUUUUCGGUCAAGGAUGGACUCGCGGCCUAUCAGCUAGUUGGUGAGGUAAUGGCUCACCAAGGCGACGACGGGUAGCCGGCCUGAGAGGGUGACCGGCCACACUGGGACUGAGACACGGCCCAGACUCCUACGGGAGGCAGCAGUGGGGAAUAUUGCACAAUGGGCGAAAGCCUGAUGCAGCAACGCCGCGUGGGGGAUGACGGCCUUCGGGUUGUAAACCUCUUUUAGUAGGGAAGAAGGGCUUCGGCUUGACGGUACCUGCAGAAAAAGCACCGGCUAACUACGUGCCAGCAGCCGCGGUAAUACGUAGGGUGCAAGCGUUGUCCGGAAUUAUUGGGCGUAAAGAGCUCGUAGGCGGUUUGUCGCGUCUGCUGUGAAAACCCGAGGCUCAACCUCGGGCCUGCAGUGGGUACGGGCAGACUAGAGUGCGGUAGGGGAGAAUGGAAUUCCUGGUGUAGCGGUGGAAUGCGCAGAU
rnacentral:rRNA from 1 species